rnacentral:rRNA from 1 species
AGUGAACGCUGGCGGUAGGCCUAACACAUGCAGGUCGAACGGCAGCACAGUAAGAGCUUGCUCUUACGGGUGGCGAGUGGCGGACGGGUGAGGAAUACAUCGGAAUCUACUUUUUCGUGGGGGAUAACGUAGGGAAACUUACGCUAAUACCGCAUACGACCUACGGGUGAAAGCAGGGGAUCUUCGGACCUUGCGCGAUUGAAUGAGCCGAUGUCGGAUUAGCUAGUUGGCGGGGUAAAGGCCCACCAAGGCGACGAUCCGUAGCUGGUCUGAGAGGAUGAUCAGCCACACUGGAACCGAGACACGGUCCAGACUCCUACGGGAGGCAGCAGUGGGGAAUAUUGGACAAUGGGCGCAAGCCUGAUCCAGCCAUACCGCGUGGGUGAAGAAGGCCUUCGGGUUGUAAAGCCCUUUUGUUGGGAAAGAAAAGCAGCAGGUUAAUACCCCGCUGUUCUGACGGUACCCAAAGAAUAAGCACCGGCUAACUUCGUG